CGGGAAGCUCCACAAAGCUGUCUCGAUCGGGGACAUGGCGAAAGAGCAGCAGCUGCUGCUCGGAAAGCACAGCGUGAAGGAUCUGUAUAAAAUAAUGAGGGUAUGUACCCCGGACCUGUAGUCAGCCAGGCAGAAAAUACACCUGAGGCCUCAACAUCCAUUCCCAAGAGUGUGCUGACCCAGAUCCACAGACCACAGACCACAAGGCUCAGGUUUGAAGAUGCAGACUGCAUGUUAAAUGGAGGUGUCUGAGAAUCAAGAGUCCUGCCUAUACUACUCAUACUGAAGAAGACAAUUCUCUGGAGUGGUAAUCAGAGUUUGAAAUGAAAACUAAGCACUACAAUGAUCUAAUCGCAAAGGACUCAUGAUGAAAAAUGCUACCCACAUCCAGAGAAAGAACUGAUGAAGCCUGAAUGCAGGCCAAGGUAUACGAUUUUCACUUUAGAUUUUUCAUAGCUUUUUUUCAGUUUAAAUUGUUUCUUCUCUCACACCAGGACUAAGAUGGAAAUACAUUUAGAUGCUUUCCAUGACAGCACCUAAAUAAUCAAUAUAAAACUGGUAUUGUUUUACAGAGGUGGGGGAAGAAGAGGAGGAUGAGGGGAAAUUUGGAACUCAAAAUGUUUAAAAAAUAAAUGUUCAAACAAGUCUUUAUGUACCAUAAGGGAAAAUACUCUUAAAACAAAGAAAAAGAAUAGCAGGUAGGCCAGUAUAGGUGGAUUGAAGAAUUAGGUAGAGGAGUAAAGUGUGAGAAAACUGGUGAUAGGGAGCCAAUACUACUACAUGAGGAGGAGAAAUGACAUGGUAAAAUUUAUGCUUGAGGAAAAUCACUUUGGCACCUUUGAAGAAGGGAUUAGUGUAUGGAAGGACUUCAUUUAAAGAAAGAAAGAAGAAGGCAAGUACAAUAAUAUAAACAAGAAGCAAUGAAUGCCUGCAUUAUACUGAUGAUUAUUAUUAGAUUGAAAUGGACCGUUAUGACAGAUGCUACAAAAGCAGAAAAUUUGUCAUUAUCAAAAGGAGUUAAGGAUGUUAUUAAGGUUACAGUCCUGGGUGAAUCAGAGGAAAGUGCUGUCACUGAUAAUAGGGACAUUCCAAAGAGGGGAUGUUGAGGUCUAGAUUUGGGCUACCUAAAUGAAAUUAGAUUGCUGAGGUCUAGUGGCAGGUUUGGGGUACAGGGAGUCAAACAGAGCUCCCCUGCAACCCCCUUGGAUUCGGCGCAAGGAUACGGCGGUAAAUGAAGUCUAGUAGUGGUAGUAAGGAGAUAGGUGAAGGCAGAGUUAAGGAGGGCACCAGACAGAGGGUCCAGUGGACAGAGGGUCCUCACAUGGCUGGCAUGUUUGGGACCUCUGCAAAGAGGGGGUCGCAGCAUGUCCCUUUUAUAAUGGGAGAUUUAGCUCGAGAGAUUAGCUGGAUUUGUGAGUUAAAGAAUAAUUACAUUCAUUAGGAGGGGGUGGGAAACUAGAAAGGAAUCUUUUCCACAUCAGGGAGGGCUUAGGAAGAAAAGAUAAUUCUGUUAAGUCAAAAUGCAUGUGGCACAUCCCAUUUGAGAUAUCCAAAACAACAUUGGUGAGGUAUGGAAGGAGCUCAAGAGAGAGAGAGAUUAGGGUUGAGUAUAUAUCACUGUGGAAAUCAUUCCUCCACAAGAGUGUUAAGGAAACUCAUGAAGAGCAGAUAAGAUCAUCAAGAGAAGAAACAAUACCAUUUCCAAGGGUGUAAACUCCAUGACAGCUCAGGCCAUGUCAUAUUCUUCUCUUAGCUGCCCUAAAGUUUCACAAAGUAUUCUGUAUAGCAGGGGACUAAGACAUAAGGAUUUGGAAAAAGCAGAUAUUUACAGCAUAUCAGAAACAGAAAAUACCUUUCUAACUUUAUUAAACAUCACUCGCCUUCUUGCAGUCUACAUUUCAAUCAAAAUAAUGAAAUUCCAAUCAAACCAACUUUUGCUUCUACACAGGACAACACAUAACUCCCAUUUCCCAAAGCCACACCCUUGUGCAGGGUGUCUUCUCAGCCUGGAGUGCAUUGCUGCUUUCCUAAGCUUCCCCUCCAUUAGAAUUUCUUGUUUCUUUAAAUUCUGCUUCAGUACCUUCUUCUGAAGUUGCUGCUACUAAUUUCCUUUGAAAACCAUGUCCUGCUUCCUGCUCCAAAUUUCCAAGACUUUAUUGUAUUGUAUUUAUAUCCUGUAUUCUCGAAUGGAAUGUAUAUCCUGUAUUCUCGAAUGGAAUGUAUAUCCUGUAUUCUCGAAUGGAAUGUAUAUCCUGUAUUCUCGAAUGGAAUGUAUAUCCUGUAUUCUCGAAUGGAAUGUAAACUUCCUGAUGGCACUUGAUUUUUGUCUUAGAGCUUCAGUACCCACAACAAUGCUAGUCUCACACAAGGCACUUGAUAAAUAUAUCUUAAUUAAAGACUCUUUGUGCUUCAAAAAUAAUAUGAUGAAAUAAGAGUGAGCACUAAUUGGAAAUUAUUUCUGCCUCCAUAGAGUUCUCAAUUACAUUCUGCUUUUUGAUUCUUUAACUGGUAUUUAGUUUUCCUUCUUUCUGAGAAUUUUUCCUGUAGUCCAGUAACUA